CAAAUCCUAAAGCUCCACUGUCUCCCUCUACCACCCUAAUAGCCGGCAAUCUCGCCGGCGGCCGCUCCCUCUACCUCCCACCUCUUCUUGGCGGCUACUCCACCCCCUCCCUCUCCCCUAGCUCGGCGGCGGCCGCUCACUCCCUUCCCUCCCCUUCCCGUAGCUCACCGGCGGCCGCUCACCCCUUGUGCAAUAGCUCCGCUCCCACCCACGGGCUAAAUAACUCCACGCGCACCCUGCCCCCGUCCCUCCCUACAGCUGUCGGAUGUUCGCCGGCAAUCUGUUUGGAUAGACCGGGACCGGCGGGGUUUGGACCCGAACGCCCUCAUCCAGGGGAGGAAACUCACACCGGGAAAAGAUCCACCUGAUGCAUCGAAACUGCAUUCGCGAGCACGGGUUUCGAUUUUGGAAUGCUUCCACCCCAAACCUUACCAAGACGCGUGGGUCUGACUCCGCUCCACCUCAAAUCGGGACAUCUCGUGUGCUCGUGUCGAGCUCGCUCUGCUCGGCGUUCCCCAAGAAGGCGCCGCCGCCGCCGCCACGCUCCCGUGCAGAAGGGAUGCUCGAAGAAGGGGCCUCCGCCGCCGCCGGCGCUCCCGCGCAGCAGGGAUUCCAGGUGCGCUCCUUUUCCCUCGUCUCCUCCGCGUCACUCCUCCCUUUCCCCUGCCCUUUCUCCUGGUAGGUGGUCACUUCGCCAUCAGUUUCUGGUGGGCAGCCUCGCGUCAGCUGCGGCUCAUGCACUUGCUUCUUCUCCCCUGCUGGCAGAAGAGCAGCCUGUGUCCCCAGCGUUUCUGUGGAUGAUUCAUUCAAUAUGACCUUGUAUGAGUUUCAACGGCAAGUCCAAGUGGUUUCAGAGUUCUUUGACAUUCAUCUGUUGCUCAACACUUUGAUUGAUACCCCUAUUUAGUUAUUUUAGAAUCUUGAGAACAUGUCUUAUUUUCCAGAAUUCGUAUUUAUGUGAAAGGUAUCCAGUUCAAUAUGCUGAGAGCCCUGUUUUUAAAAACAUUUUUAAACGUUGUUUAAUCUUGAUUAAA